rnacentral:rRNA from 1 species
GACAGAGGGUGCAAACGUUGUUCGGAAUUACUGGGCGUAAAGCGCGUGUAGGCCGCUUGGAAAGUCGGAUGUGAAAGCCCUGGGCUCAACCCAGGAAGUGCACUCGAAACUUUCAAGCUUGAGUUCUGGAGAGGGAAGCGGAAUUCUCGGUGUAGAGGUGAAAUUCGUAGAUAUCGAGAGGAACACCGGUGGCGAAGGCGGCUUCCUGGACAGUGACUGACGCUGAGACGCGAAAGCGUGGGGAGCAAACGG